rnacentral:tRNA from 1 species
GGCCGUAGCUCAGUGGUAGAGCACUUGCUUGGCCUGCAUGAGACCCUGGGUUCAGUCCCCAGCACUGCCA